GUUGAGAUCUUUUAAUACUGAGAAUACUUAUAGCACAAUGUCUAUCAAUGGUGUGUGUGUGUGUUUUAUGAUUUCACUUUUACAAAAUAUUCCCCCCAAAAAACUAUUUAUAAUAAAAUUCUUUAAUGUUUAAAAUCUGUUCGUCAUUUCACUUUUAAAAGAAGUGAGAAGCAGUGAUUUUCAAAGCAAUAUAAAAACAAGAUUCAAAGUAUGUUUUUUACUAUAAAAGUUAUUGGGCUCUUAAUUACAUAAAAUUCUAACAAAUGUUAAAAAAAGUCAAUGCAUUUAAGAUAUUCAAAAUUUCAAUACAUCAAGGGCAU
rnacentral:lncRNA from 1 species